UCGUGGUUACAAGUCGCAUUUUAUCGCGCGCUAAAUAAACAAAUAACACCAUAGUAUUUAUAUGAAUAAAAUUCUCCUAUAGGUAUUUGUCGAUUGUUCCAUUCGUAGGUAUGUUUAUAUAAGCUAGCCCAUUUAGCUAAAUCGAAUCGAGUGUGUAUUAUUGUAUUAUAAUAUCUUCCUGUCUAUUCAAGCUGCUUCCGAGCAUUAGCUAUUUAAACGGUGUCGGCUGCCCUGGCAGAGUCCAAUAAGAUCUCGCCCGUGUUGGUGCUCGAAGAAUGGUCCUUAUUGCUGUAGUGGGCGCGGCGGUGGCAAUCAUCGGUGCGGCGCUACUGACAGCUACGAUGAUAGACAUGUUCCCUCGCUAUGAGCCUGUUAUCACCACCCUGCCGCCUGACGCCAUGGGACAUUACACGACUAUCAAGCUUGCCCUUCCACCUGAACCCGACAUGGUUCUACGACGACCCUUGAAAAAAAUAAUAUAAAAAAUGGACAUUAUAGCUGAUAUACAACAGCUGGUAUGUCGUCUUAGUCUGUAGGCGGUACAUUUCUUUUUCAAACGGGAUACUGGAUUGAGCAGUCAUGUUUAUAAGCAUUCUUGCUUAGUCUUGUGGAUGUAAUUGCCAUGCCAACUUUGCCCUUAAUGAUUUGCAAUUGGUGUGAUAAUGAUGAUUACUUUCCAAAGUUGGGUUUAGUUAGGUUGUUCAUAGUCAAUUAGGGGAUUUGUUGUACAUAGUUUAAAUGAAAAUGAGGGGUUCAUUAAUUUUAAGUGUUUUUUUUAUUGUUGCAUUUGUUAUUUGGUCUUUUUAUGUUAUUUGAGAUCAGAAAAUUAAAAUGAAUGUUAAUUGGU